UAUACGAAGAAAAUAGGUUAAUCAUAUACUGUCGCCUUUUUCCCAACAAUGCCUUCCUCCGCCGUCAGCCCUACUACAUGUGAAUGGAAAAGAAGGAUUUUAGGAAAAAUUAUCUCUGCUGUUCUCCUCCUCUUCUUCGUGUUUACUGCACCAUCCACUGCGGAUAUCAUAUCUGCGAAAAUCCGAUCUCAUAACCGAGAUAUGAUUGUGUUCUCGGAGUUCGAAUAUUCACAUACCGGUUACGUUUCUGUGGCGCUCUCCUCCGUCGCGAUCUCCUCCAUUCCGGUCACAUCAAACGUAUCACAACUUGAUCCUUCGCGUAUCGGUUUCUUGCUUCUAUCUGAUGAAUUUUUAUACCGCUACUACCAGGAAUUCAAACAAAACCCUGAUAUGUGCCCCUUAGAUAUCAAAAACAUCUCAGUCCUCUUCACAUUCCAAGAUCUCUCCCCUCCUCUUCAGUCGUCCUUUAACAAAUCGUACCAUGUCACAUAUCCGGUAUGUACUCUCUCUUUUUAGCCAAUUGCAACGACCAAUUCCUCCUUACCAUGGAUGUCCGCACAGAGCUCUACAGCACCGAUGAUGAAGGGACUACCACUACCAAAGACUAUUUAUCAGCUGGGCAACCGCAGCCGUCUUUUUUCUUCAGAUUGUUCCUUAUUUAUCUGUGUUUUCUAGUGUUUUGGAUCUCUAUAUCCUUAAAGAACCAUCGAUAUUUUCAGAGGAUCCAUCUACUUAUGGGUGUGUUGCUUGUUAUAACUCUUGUUCACUACUUAUGUGCGAUGGCGGAUCAACAAGACCUGAAGGUUACGGGGAGUCAUCAUGGAUGGCAUACGUUGUUAUACAUAUUUCAGUUUAUGAGGAAUGUGCUUUUGUUCACCGUAAUCGUGUUGCUCAAUGUAGAAUGGUGUUUAAGGAAGCCGUUUUUGGUAGAGGGAGAAAUAUUCAUCUUGACGAUCGUGAUCCUACUUCAGGUUUGGGCUAAUGUAAGCUCUGUAGCGGCUGUGGAAUCCGGUCCGCUUAAUUAUCAAGAGUUGCAGUAUUUGAUAGAUAAGUUUUCGCUUAUAGAUUUCAGCUGUUGCCUGGUUGUUGGUUUCCAUUGUUUUAACUUGGCUGAUCAGACUACGGAUUCAUCAAAGGGGACUUCUGCUACUGCUAUGCCGCCGAAUAUGUUCCAGGCCUGGGUAGUAGUAUACAUUAUAUAUUCGAGGGGAAUGAAUUUCCCGCUAAAGGUUACUGCUGCAAGAGAAGCCGGUGAUCUUGUGUUCUAUAUGGUGAUGUUUUACAUGCACAAACCAAUUCUUCUUGAGGAACAGAAUUUAAACUGUCUGGGGUAGGGAAGUUGAUUAAUCUUCAAGUGUUUUUUCGUGGAACAGUUAGAUGUUUUUAGUCUCUUUAAUUUUGAGUUUUAGGCUUGUUCUGUUCAUAACAUAUACUAGGUAGCUAGGUUCAUGGAUAUUUUGAGUUUUAGGCUUGUUCUUUUCAUAACAUAUACAAGGUAGCUAGGUUCAUGGUUGUUUUU